UUAUUAGAGAAGGGAUUUCAAGUUCUCUCAAGGCUCUCAGGACUGGAGCUAAGGUUUAAGGGAGGCUUAUUUCAACACGGGAAAUAAAAUAUAACAAGGCCCCACCCCACCCCAUGCCAAAGACCCUGUUGGCUUUCUGGUCAAAGCAGCCUUGAUCGGUUUGAUUAGGUUUUUUUUUAGGGCUGCUUCUUGAGGAGGCUAAACGCCUGCCCAGGAGUUCCCACAGAUGCAGCGCCAAGCUAAUGGUAAACCCAGACAGCGGGCGAAGCCCCCCUCCCCACGCUCCGCAGGCUGCUCUCCAGCCCUCCCCCCUUCCUUCCCGAGGGGCUCGGCCUGCUUGGACACAGCCUCCCCACGAGACACUUGCUGCCCUACGGCCUGGCCGGUUCCUUCAGGGCCUGGAUCUCUGCGGUCCGAACAGAAGGGAUUAACUCACUUGGCUCUGGGACGUGCACUGGGGAUGUCCAGGGGAGGAUGAGGAUGGAGAUUCCAAAGAGUUUCAGAGUAAGACGAGCACCCACCCCGACCACAAGCUAUCAGUAGCUUUAUACAAACAGGGAGUUAUCCGAGGUUCCCCAUCUUCACGUGCUACUCUCCAGGAAAGCAGCGAGCUCUUUUAAUAUAAAGUCACAUCAACCAGAUAAAACCCGUCAACGCUACAUCAUUUAGAAUAUGUACAGUUCCAAACAUGUUACAACUUAAAGGAAAAUAAAACAUACUUUUCAAUAGGAUACAAAAACAUGCAUCUCAAAGCCAUUACUUUAAAAACAAAACGCAACAAAAAACAGAGCAACACAGGUGAAACCCAAAACCAUGAAGUCAAGGCCCUGGCACUAGGGCAUCCGGAGGGAGGCCUCUGGGACGUGGUCGGCCCCACACGGACGCACUGGUCUUCGCAGACUCGCUCCAGGGAAGCCAAACCCAGAAGGAAAUGCUUUUGCAAAAGCCCACACUCCAGGAGGGAGGAGACACGGCGAGUUGGCGGACAUCCUUACGGCCCCUGUCACCAGACUACGUGUGCGCAG
rnacentral:lncRNA from 1 species